GUAUCUUCGGAUAUGAGUAGAGCGGCGGACGGGUGAGUAACGCGUAGGAAUCUACCUAGUAGAAGGGGAUAGCCCGGGGAAACCCGGAUUAAUACCGUAUACCUCCUUCGGGAGAAAGAAGGCCUCUCUUUGAAGCUUUCGCUACUAGAUGAGCCUGCGUAAGAUUAGCUAGUUGGUGAGGUAAUGGCUCACCAAGGCUACGAUCUUUAGCUGGUCUGAGAGGACGAUCAGCCACAUUGGGACUGAGACACGGCCCAGACUCCUACGGGAGGCAGCAGUGGGGAAUAUUGGACAAUGGGCGCAAGCCUGAUCCAGCCAUACCGCGUGUGUGAAGAAGGCCUUCGGGUUGUAAAGCACUUUAAGCAGGGAGAAAAAGUUAUAGGUUAAUACCCUAUGACCUUGAUGUUACCUGCAGAAUAAGCACCGGCUAAUUCCGUGCCAGCAGCCGCGGUAAUACGGAAGGUGCAAGCGUUAAUCGGAAUUACUGGGCGUAAAGCGCGCGUAGGUGGUUUGUUAAGUUGGAUGUGAAAGCCCUGGGCUCAACCUAGGAACUGCAUCCAAAACUAACUCACUAGAGUACGAUAGAGGGAGGUAGAAUUCAUAGUGUAGCGGUGGAAUGCGUAGAUAUUAUGAAGAAUACCAGUGGCGAAGGCGGCCUCCUGGAUCUGUACUGACACUGAGGUGCGAAAGCGUGGGUAGCGAACAGGAUUAGAUACCCUGGUAGUCCACGCCGUAAACGAUGACAACUAGCUGUUGGGAGACUAUGUCUUUCAGUGGCGCAGCUAACGC
rnacentral:rRNA from 5 species